rnacentral:lncRNA from 1 species
GCUCUGUCUGUAAAGAGGCUGAACCCCAGAACCCUAUCUCAGCGAAGCCUCCUGCCUGUCUUCACCUAUGGCCAGCUUGUUCCAGAGGCAAGACUGAGGGUUUGUGUGUCUGGGGUAAAUCACCUCCUCAGGCAGUGCCCUCAGGCAUGUCUUAGGCAGGAGAGUUAACAGCCAAGGACUGUCUCAGCCCAGGAGCCAUGGCACUUACGGUCUUCUCUGCGGAAGAACCAGAGCAGCUCUUCCAGCUGCUCCUGUUCCAAGCCCAGUGGGAGGAUAGCUAUAAAUUAACCCAGCAGCCAGUGCAGCAGGAAUGCCCGUUAAUCUCUGCUAACUCACCAGAAACAUGCAGUUCCCAGCAGGGAGGAAGCUACAUUUCUUCUUUAAGCCCUGUCAUCCGAAGACAUCUCCUCCAAGCACCGUGGUAAUACAAGGUUCCCUGUGCUCUGCUCUGGGUAUGCUACGAGCUGUGAUUCAUGCUGCUCCUGAGUCAUGUGUGAAGGCCAGUUCAACAGAGUUCCCCUGGGCAGCCCCAGUGAAAUAUCACCCAGCAGAUGUGUGCUCCCCAAACAGAGAUGUUUCACUGCUCAGCCUCAGCCUGGCAGCGAUCAGAUGGGAGCUCAGAAAUGCAUCCCCCAGGAAACAAGAGCUGCUCCCUGCUGCUGGAGGCACAUCCAGCCAGGACAUCCCACCACAUGGUAAAUCCUGCUGUCCUUCCUUCUCAAUUCCAGCUCGAUCUUUCCAGAAGUGCCACCACAAUGGAGAACACCUUUCUAGCGUCUUUGUUGAGCUUUUUGUUGCCAGGGAAAGGGUGCACAUGGACAGCACAGUAAGUGGUCUCACAAUCAAACCCUCUGGCCUUGGGAAAGCACAAAGAAGACACUUGGCCUCUGCAGAACAAUCUCUGAGUAGAGGGAAGGAGACACUGGCCAUGGUGAAAAGGUGACUGUAACAUAAGGAUGGUGACUGCACAACACCAGGAGGUUCCUUUUCAUCCCAAUUUCCACAUGGCUCAAUGUAUAUAUCUAGGGUCAGGAUGCAGGUAGGUGGCUGAGAUAUGUUUAGGACUCAGCAUGAUGUACAUGAAAAAUAAAACCAGUUCCUCACUGGUUGGAGUUGGCUCUUGUGCCCAGUAUCCUCUCCUUUUCCAGAGAACCACAAACGAGCUCAGGAGCGCUCCUGCUCCUCUCCAGUGAGGGUGUGAGUAUUUGAUUCUGUGUCUCCCCUGACAGCAUUGGCACUGGCUAAUGGGAAAUAUCUUUUUACUUCUUGGAGACACUUUCAGCGUCUUUGGCCAGGAAGCAAAGUGGAGAUAAGAUCUGAUUUGUGUUCUGUUUCCUCCUCAGAUUUGUCUUCACUGCUCUUGGGAAGAAUUUGUCUGACCUUGGUGUUUUAAUUUUGCUUAUCUUUUUUGAUCCCUUCAGUGUCUUUGACCUGAAAUGCCUGGUUACAGAAUAACUAAACAUUCAGGGUUGUUUUUUUUUUUUUUUUUUUUCCAUGUACAAAACCAGAGUUCAAAUGUAGCAGGAAAGCCAGAUUUUUUUUUAUUAUUUUUGUGAAACAAUCAGAUAGUUGCUUUCAUUCUGAAAAAAUUUUUAUCAAAAUAAAUCUUCAGUUAAAAUUCACAAAGGCAUAAUAAUGAAUAACAGCCAUAAUGUGUUUGAAAUGUGCUGUCACAGCAGAGCCAAGGAUGAAUUACAUGGGAGCAAGUGUACUGGAGGGAAUUGAAGUCCACUUCUAAAACUCACUGCAAAUGAAAUUUUAAUUACUUUGUGCAUAUGUCUGGCAAAGCUCAGCAUGGAGUUACAGCAUUUCCAGGAGCCUUAACUACAGCCAGAAGUGAGAAUUCAUCUCAGGGCUUAAGUCCUGGAGGAACAGCAGGUGAAACUCAACACAUGGUGUCAAUGACAUGUUCAGUGCCUGGAUCUGAUACCUGGAAAUUAAUACUGAGCAGCAGCUGGAUCCUGGGUUCAAACUCACAACUUUUGGGCAAUGCAGACACACACAUACAUCCCUGGCCUUUCUGAAGUGUUGGUGAUAAAUCCAGGGCUUCAUCUAAGACCUCAGAGAACUGGUAUUUGCUCUCACCACACAGGAUAUCUCCUUCCAGCCUUUCUUCCAGCAAUUGCCUCUGGAAACCAUGAGUAUUUUUCAGCAUCUGAGAUAUUAUAAGGUCAAAUUUUUCACCAUCUGAGAUAAGGCCUGAAAUUACACUCUGUGCUGAACAGUGCUCCUCUCGUUUGAGCCCUGACAGCCAUGAGUGCCUGUAAUCACUUAGUUAUUGUGCAAUGACAAAUUGUUCCCUGUUUAUGAUAAGUCAGACUGUUCACCUUCCCUUCUUUCCAAUCCACCUUCCAACAUGAACCACGCUGGGAGCUUUAAUCUCUUCUGAAGCACAAGCCAUUCCUUCAUCCUUGCUAGCCUCUUGUUUAUAUUUUUAUUUAUUUUUACUGUAACAUGUCAUUUACUCACUGAGAUGAGGUGACCAGAGUUGAAGUGACUAAACCAAGUGUUUUCAUAGGACUCCCCAGGCAAUAGAAAAAUGUAAAUUAUUUUUAGCAUUUGAUUUUUAUAUACUGAUUAAGAAAUUACCUCAGUAUUUGGUAGCAUAUUCUCCUUUUCUCAGGGUGCAGGAGUGUAAGCACCCCAGUUAGGAUGGCCUGACUCUUUUUUUUUUAUCUGGAACAGCAAUUUUUCAUUCUUUUCUUCUUAUUACCACCACAGGAGUCCAUGGCUAAGAGAAGAAAACCCUAAUGAUGAGCAAACAGACAAGAAAAAGGGAAGGAAUAUACACAGCAUUGCUUAGUACGGCACAAAAUUUCACUUUUUUAAAUUGAUCCUUCCCUCAUGUAUUCAACAUAAAAUUCUGCCAUCCAUUUUCCAAGUAAUUUACAUAUUUUCACAGGCACAUAGGAUAUUUACAGAUUCUCACAGUCCAUGCUGCAGAAAUUCCUAGUGUCAAAGACUGUAGGAUAGACUGUGAUUUAGAUGUGCAGGGAAUUUGUGUAUGUGAUUUACAUUAAAAGCUACACAAAUAAACCAUCUUCCCACAGGGGGAAAGAAUGUACUUAGCAGAACGAUAAAAUAUUUUCAUACUUAUGUUAUGGGAGGAGACAGUUCUUUAAGUGGUGAUUCUGACCCCGUAGUUUAUAAGACAACAUUCUUUGAGUUACUGUCACUGUUAAAAUGAAGCUGUCUAUGGAGUCAGAAAGGAAAUCUGUUUUUCAAAUGCCGUCAGAGCCAGAUCAGUGGCUGUGGGGUCAACACCCCUUUAGUCCCUGACGUUUUUCUGCGUUAUCUUCGCACUGAGAAUUCCUGCUCAGGGUUAAAGGGUGACACCACUCAGGAGCAUCGCACCGUGGGGCUGGAGCUGCUGGAGCUGUCAGGGCAGCACAGCUGAGGGCUGUGCCGAUGGCUCCCACCACCCCACACCACAUCACAGAACUGUCAGGGCUGGCAGGGACCUCUGGAGAUCACCCAGUCCAAGCCCCUAGGCAGGGUUAUGUGGAACAAGUGACAGGGGUGAGCGUGUCCCGGUGGCUUUGGAAGGUCUCCAGAGAGGGAGGCUCCGCAGCCUCUCUGGGCAGCUGUCCCAGUGCUCUGCCGCUCUCCGUAUAAAGUUAUUCCCCAUGUUGAGAUGGAACUUCUUGUGUUGUAAUCUAUGGACGCUGCUCCUCAUCCUGUUGCCGAGCACUACCCAAAAGACCCUUGCACUAGCAUCUUAACACCCCAGGAGAUAUUUUUAUGCAUUAACGAGAUCCCCUGUCAGUCUUCUCCAGGCUAAGCACGGUAUGAAGGCACUGUGCUCUUAGAGAGCAUCCAAAGGAGGCCACGAGGAUGGGGAAGGGUGUGGAAGGGAAGCUGUACGAGUAGCGGCUGAGGGCAUUUGUUUUGUCCAGCCUGGAAGAGACUGAGAGACCUCCCUGUGAUCUCCAACAUCCUCCUGAGGGACAGCGGAGGGGCAGACACUGCUCCCUUCACUCUCUGACCAGUGACUGGACCCGAGGGAACAACAUGGUGCGUCGGGGAGAUUUAGGCUGGGUGUCAGGAAAAGGCUUUCAGAGGGUGGUUGGCACGGAUGCGUCGGGGAGAUUUAGGCUGGAUGUUAGGAAAAGGCUUUCAGAGGGUGGUUGGCACGGGAAGGGUUUCCCCAGAGAAUGCUCACGGCUCCAAGGCUGCCAGAGCAGCAGAAGCGUUCGGACAGCGCUCUGAGGCACAGGGCGGCACUACCGGGGUGCCCUGCGCAGGGCCACGGGUUGGACUCGAUGAUCCCGGAAGGGUUUCCCCAGAGAAUGCUCACGGCCCCAAGGCUGCCAGAGCAGCAGAAGCGUUCGGACAGCGCUCUGAGGCACAGGGCGGCACUACCGGGGUGUCCUGCGCAGGGCCACGGGUUGGACUCGAUGAUCCCUGUGGCUCCGUUCCAGCCAGGUUCGCCUAUAAUUCUAUGAUUUACCCACUAUGGGUGGGACUCGAUGAUCCUUGUGGGUCUUUCCACUCAAGUUCGCCUCUAGUUCUAUGAUUUUCCGACUGGGUGGGACUCGAUGAUCCUUGUGGCUCCGUUUCCACUCAGGUCUGCCCCUAAUUCUAUGAUUCUCCGACUGGCUUGGACCGGGCGAUCCCCGUGGCUCCCCGGUAACUCCGGGACAUUCGGGCGACAUUCGGGGGGGGGGGGGGGGGGGGGGGGGGGGGGGGGGGGGGGGGGGGGGGGGGGGGGGGGGGGGGGGGGGGGGGGGG